rnacentral:lncRNA from 1 species
AUGUCAGCUUUAAUCUCCUUCCCAAGGAUGGGGGAUUUAAUACAUGUGCGUUCAAUUUAUAACAUUAAGUCUCACUUAAUAUAUUUUCAUUUCUAAUUCCAAAUAUAAAUAUUUUUCUCAAAAAUAUUAUAUUUCCAUUUCACAUAAUUUUUCCCCAAAAAUAAUACGUUGAUAAAAUAUUCGUUCACAAUCAUUUCCGUAUAAUGCGUAAGUUCCGUUUUAGUAAUCGUGUGGUAAUAAUAAUUACCGUUGUAACUUAUAUGUUUAUCGUGAAAGCGUUCGUAUUAUUUUGGAUUCGUCAACGUUUGUAAAUAUUAUUUUUACUCUAAAAAUAAUAUUUGUGUAUUUUCACAAAAUAAUCAUAAACAGUGUUGUGAAAAAUUAUAUUUACCAAAUAUAUAUUUAUCACGUUUAAUUUUGUGAAAAUCCCACCUCCGAAUAUUUGUAAAUAAAGUCAUGGCGAAAUAUAUUUUGAAA